AGGAGGAUGGGCACAGAUGUUAGCUCAGGGCCAGUCUUCCUCAGCAAACACUGCAGAAUUGGCAGCAGGUGUUAGCUCAGGGUUACUCUUCCUCAAAAAAAAAAAAAAGAAGAAAACUUGGCAGUGGGAGCAUGGAAGAUUAAAAUAACCAUUGAAAAUAGUUAGAAAAGGACCUGCUUUUCAAAGAGAUUCACAUUUCUUUACCCUUUACUUUAAAUUUUGCAUCACUUUUAUAGUUUUUUACAUUAAUUGUUAUUUAACAUUUUUAAAAAGUCAGGCUAUGAAUUAAAGAGGAGAAUGCAGGAGCUGGGGAGUGAAUGGGCAAAAGUAAAGGAGGAGGUAGGACUGUGGUUCUCUCACAUUAAAGUCACCUGGGCAACCUUACCACCUAAUCAUAAUCUCUGCAGGUUGGGCCUAGGCACUGACAUUUAUGUAAGAGCUCCAGGUAAUUCUGAUGCUCACAGAGGGUUGAAAACUGAGGAAAGAUGCAUGUGUCUGAAGCCUACUUAAAUACUGGGGAAAAUGAGCCAGCUAUAAUUUAUAUUUAGUAUAACUUAUUGAUAUGAGAUAGGCUUAGCUUGUAUCCGAAGAUACUGAUAUUAUAAAAGUAAAUAAAUGACUAGCCUGGGAGUUGAGACCUAAUGCAUUUUAUUUCUGAAUGUUGCCAAUUAGCUAUACAAUUUUGUGCAAGUCGAAGAGUUUCCACAUGUGUAAGUAUGAGGACUGUGAUCCUUUCCCUAAGGACUAUUUCAGUCUCAAUUUCGUAUGUUUUCAUCUCCUUCUUGAGCAGAAUCAUGGCUCUCUAGAAUAAAUAUCUAAUUUGUACCUGCAGUUAAAUAUAAUUUCAACCCUAACUAAUCUUAGGAUGAUUCCUUAACUUUUUUUUCUUCCAUCUCUGAAAUAAGAAUAUCAAAAGGUUCCCAGGAUGAAGCACAUUCUUAGAGAACUGCAGUGCUUAGAAGAGACUCAUACUGUGUUAUCCUCUAUCCUCGAUAUUUAUACUCCAGAUUUUAAAAUUAGUUUGUUCAAUUUUGGAAAAACAUGUUUUAAAGCUAGAAGGAAUGAAGAACCAUCUAAUUCAGCCUCACCAUGUUGAAAGAGGAGGGCAUUUCCUUAGAAUCGGAGAAAGUUAGCAGCAGAACAUCUUACUUCCCCAUCCUGUGCCUUCUAUACUAGCCAACUCUAUGGCAGAUGGGAGGCCUACAUAAAUUGUGCCACAAAAGCAUCCAGCUUGCCUUCGUGAUACGGGAGGCCUCAGAACACGAGGUCUGGGAACCAUCACCCUGAGUCAGUGAAAGUUUGACUCCACAUCCACCAAAACUUGACAGAAUUUGAUUAAGACUGAAUUUUAAACUAACUUUGAAAAUAUCAAAGCAUAGAAAAUUGCAUAUAUAAUGAUAAAUAAAUAGAUAGAUUGAAGCUUAUAGGAAAUAUGUAUCUCCCAAUCCCUUAGUUUCAAAUCUUGGCCAUUGAGAUCAAGAAGAAUGAAUUUUAGGGUAUUUAGUUUAGAUAGGGACACUCAGAAGAAAGUUUGUUACGUGUCAAAGUAGAUAUAGUUUCAACCCAGCAAAAGAAUCAAAAUCUUUAGAAAUACAGAGACACGUGUGAAAAAUAAUUGAAGGAAAGAGGAAAAUUAUUCCUAAGUAGCAGUUGCAAGCAUUGUCAUAUCUCCUCCUGUCUGUGUGUAGGGCAUUAGGUCAGGUAUAAGAUAAUUUCUGCUCCAGCAUUAGUCUCAAGCUUAAGAAAUGAGAAUGAAAGUCUAGAGAUGCAUAUGUUCAUAAAACGCUUUUAUGGUUUAAUAUACGCAGUAAACCGUUAGGAGCAGAUAUUGUCAACUGAACAUUUCAGACUUAGCCUGUGGAACUUUUGUACUUACUAAUUUGAUAGACAAAAUUAGAGCCAAAUAGGAUUUAUUGAAAAUGGUCAAGAAGAACAAUUUUAGUUAUAGAAAAAUUGAAAUGUUUAUAGAAACUACUUUGCAAGUCAUUUAACCUGAAAUUCUGAAUUAUGUGUUUAAUGAGUUGACUGUGAAGGAAGGAGAGUGAAGCUUAGUUGACUUCUGAUUCAAUUUUUGUACUUUAUCCCCCGAAAAAGUUAUGAUAAAUGGGGAUAUAUGCAAAGCACGUAACCCAUAAUAGACACAAGAUGUGAAUUCCUUCCCUCAUUGUUCGCCUUUCUUUCAGUGACAGAUUUAAUUACCAUUUCUGCAGGCCACACUGUAUGGAGGGUCCAGGGGAAAAAGGGAGGCCCAGAUAUUCUCACUGAGCAGGGAAGGAGUGAGCAGGACUGUACCCUUCUCGUAAGAUGAAAGAGGCAGUUCGUCCCAUUGUCAAAUCGCACAUCGAAUUCUCUCAAAUUAUCCUAUCAAUUUCAUCUCCUUACAAUAAUUAUUCCAAAGUAUUGUUCUUGUUUUUUAAUUUAACAAAAUGAUGCAAAGAUUAUCUGCAAUUGGAAAUUUGUGAAAAUGUCCAUGAAAGUUUUGGAAAAAAAAUGUAAUAAAGGAGGACUUUCUGUACCAAAAUUUAAUGGGUAAAGUCAUUGAAAUCAGAAGAAAGAGAUUAAUGGAACAGAAGACAAAGUGUACAAUCAGACCCAUGUGUGCAUAAGAAUAUAUUGUGUAAAGAAGGUGAUAUCACUAAAUAGCAAUGGGAAAACAAGCUAUCUUUUGAAAAGUUAAAGGUGAAUUAAAGAUUUCAAGUGCAAAAAUUGAAUUACAAGGUGGCUCCCCCAAGAAUGAAGGAUAAAUUUAAAAUUUUUAACUUCAAAAAUAACCCAAGCCUUAGUUCCAUCUCCCUGAAAUACUUUUUAUUCAACUAUUAUCCUAUACAUAUUGUUUAAUAAAGAAAUGUGUGUUCAUUAUAUUUUAUGUUCCAUUUUGUUUAAUAUUGUUAUGAUCUUUCUUAGGCCUAUGUAGUAUUUCUAGUUAUAAUUUUAAUGGUUAUUUUAACACAUCUUUUUUGCAGGUAUACACAAUUCACUGCUAACAGUUUAGUGUAAAGCCUUUUGGAGUUUUUUCCCUUUAUUUACAAAUAUGUAUCUAAAUAUGUGUUUGUUUGUAUUUGCCUCACAGACAAAAAUGCAGACAUUCUCUAUAUACUAUGAUUCUUCCUAAUUUAUUUUUCUGUACACAAUGUAUUUUGGAAAGAAAAUGACCUUUAGAAUCACAUUGUCUUAUUGUGAAAUUCAAACAAAAGGCCUGCUACAAUUUUUUAUUAGGAAGUCAAAUUGUAAAGAAAUCAUUUUUAGUAAAUUAAUUUCUCGGCUGCAUUUAAAAACCUUUCUAUUUUACGUUAUUUUUUUAAAGAAUAUACUGUUGCAUAUUUUUAUUUUUACCUGAGAUUCUACUUACUUUGAUUGCUUAAUUUAUGCCAUUUGCAAGUAUUGUUAUAAUUUUGCCUUGUAAUUUAAAAUUUUAUACUUCUCUCUCCUUUUUCUGUUAUGGUGUCACUUGUAUGAUAUGCAUUAUGUUUUCAAUAAUAUUUUAAUAAAGUUUGAAGGUAAAUAUCCUA